rnacentral:piRNA from 1 species
UAGCUGUUUUGAAGAAAGGACUAUCUC